rnacentral:lncRNA from 1 species
CAGCUGGCUUCCCCCAUCAGGUGCUGAAUUGGAUUUCUGCAGUCUUAGGGGAAUUUCUGCUGUUGCAAGAAGACAGUCUGUGACCCUUAAUCUACCAGCUGAGCAGAAAACCACAGGCAAAUUACCGUGGUGUGCUGCUCACAGUGAAAGCCACACAACGCAAUGGCCAUGAGGCGGUGUAACUGUGAGCUGCUGGCAGAAAAGACCGGCUCAGGGCACAAUCAUCUGUAAUAGAACCAGUGUUACACAGUUUAAAGCUCUGAGAAAUAAGUGCCGUUUUUAGGGCUCAGUAUGAUGAACUGCUGGCCCUCCAUGUGCCCAGUGCCUUAAAUGGAUCCAAAUGACCACAGAUACUGUCCUGCCUCCCACCAGCCUUGAGAAGACACCAAGGGCAUUCUGCAAGAGGUCCUAAGCUUCCAGGUCUUUACCUGCAAGCUCGAAGCCAGGUCACUUCAACCAACAAGUGUCCCGGCCGGAGAUCACAGGGCAGAGGAAAAGGAAAAGGACGCUGAACUCCCUGGAUUCCGCCAGGUGACCUAAGCAGAGACUUUCCACAGUCAGUACACAGUACACUCCUUCCUUCCUGACAC